UGGUGUUGUCCCGUGACGUAGUCGAGUCGGUUACGGCUAUACGGACCAAGGUAAAAUGGAUCUAGAGUUUCUGAGUGUUGAAUUAUUAUCUCAGAAUUGGCAUGUCGGGAUCGGGUAAUCCUGGUCGCGGGACUGUUUUUGUCUGCAGGUUAUAGGAUGGUGUUGAUCCCGGUGAGUUUUGGUCCGUAGCUUUCGGGUUGGUAUGUUUUCCCUCGUCUUGUACG
rnacentral:lncRNA from 1 species